GUUAUGCUCCAUCCGUUGUGAAAUUAACAUCUAUUAUUUUUUAUUGAUUUUUGUUUUCUAAAUUUUUUAGUUCAAUAAACUUGCAUUAUUAGCUCACUGUUAAUAAAAUUAAUUCUCUUUUAAUUCUACUAAAUGUGGAUAAUAUUUCUAUAUAAGACUCACGCACUUGUGGAACAAACUAGACCAUAUUUUUGGAAUUACGACAUUUUUUAUCCCGUUCUACACGAUUAUGAUUAUUCCAGGAAAGAAUGACGUACGAAAAAAAUGGAAGAAGAUUCUUCGUGAAAAUAUUAAAA
rnacentral:lncRNA from 1 species